UUGGAGGGCAAGUCUGGUGCCAGCAGCCGCGGUAAUUCCAGCUCCAAUAGCGUAUAUUUAAGUUGUUGCAGUUAAAAAGCUCGUAGUUGAAUUUCGGGAUUCGUCCAUUGGUCAGGCUUAACUGUCUGUACUGGUGUGUCGGAUUUCUACCUUCUGAAGAACCUUCAUGCCAUUAAUUUGGUGUGUUGGGGAAUCAGGACUGUUACUUUGAAAAAUUAGAGUGUUUAAAGCAGGCUAACGUCUGAAUACAUUAGCAUGGAAUAAUGAAAUAGGACGGUACGGUUCUAUUUUGUUGGUUUCUAGGAUCGCCGUAAUGAUUAAUAGGGAUAGUUGGG
rnacentral:rRNA from 1 species